rnacentral:rRNA from 1 species
UACGUAGGGAGCAAGCGUUGUUCGGAUUUACUGGGCGUAAAGGGCGCGUAGGCGGCGCGGUAAGUCACUUGUGAAAUCUCUGAGCUUAACUCAGAACGGCCAAGUGAUACUGCAGUGCUAGAGUGCAGAAGGGGCAAUCGGAAUUCUUGGUGUAGCGGUGAAAUGCGUAGAUAUCAAGAGGAACACCUGAGGUGAAGACGGGUUGCUAGGCUGACACUGACGCUGAGGCGCGAAAGCCAGGGGGAGCAAAACGGG